rnacentral:rRNA from 1 species
UAGUCCACGCCGUAAACGAUGUAUGCUUGGUGUUAGAACAAAUUGUUGUUCUAGUGCCGGAGAUAAUUCGUUAAGCAUACCACCUGGGAAGUACGAUCGCAAGGUUGAAACUCAAAGGAAUUGACGGGGGCCCGCACAAGCGGUGGAUUAUGUGGUUUAAUUCGAUGCAACGCGAAGAACCUUACCCAGGCUUGAAGUGUAACGGACUGCUUCUGAAAGGAAGCUUCCCUUCGGGGUCGUUACAGAGGUGCUGCAUGGCUGUCGUCAGCUCGUGCCGUGAGGUGUUGGGUUAAGUCCCGCAACGAGCGCAACCUUUGCCGCCAGUUACCAGCAUGUAAUGAUGGGGACUCUGGCGGGACUGCCAUCGUAAGAUGAGAGGAAGGUGGGGAUGGACGUCAAAUCA